rnacentral:other from 1 species
GAUUCCCUGCCCGGCACGUGAUGUGUCGUACAAGUGAGCCAACACUUCACGCAAGGGACUCCGGAGUUUCCGGACAAUGGUCGCGCCCUCAGGGGAAGACCGGAGGACGGAAUAGGAGACCCACCUGAGGCAACACGGUUCAGUUGCUUCCGACGCACACGACCGGGCGGGGUGAAC